rnacentral:rRNA from 1 species
ACUAAACGCUGGCGGCGUGCCUAACACAUGCAAGUCGUACGAGAAAAGUCGGCUUCGGCUGAUGAGUAAAGUGGCGCACGGGUGAGUAACGCGUGGAUAAAUCUGCCCUUGAGUGUGGAAUAACGUACCGAAAGGUGCGCUAAUACCGCAUAAUGCCUGGCAACACAAGUUGUCCGGCCAAAGAAGGCCUCUGUUUACAAGCUUUUGCUCAAGGAUGAGUCCGCGUACCAUUAGCUAGUUGGUGGGGUAACGGCCUACCAAGGCUACGAUGGUUAGCUGGUCUGAGAGGAUGAUCAGCCACACUGGAACUGAGACACGGUCCAGACUCCUACGGGAGGCAGCAGUGAGGAAUAUUGCGCAAUGGGGGCAACCCUGACGCAGCAACGCCGCGUGAGUGAGGAAGGUUUUCGGACUGUAAAGCUCUGUCGAGCGGGAAGAAAUGUACCAUGGCUAAUAUCCAUGAUAUUUGACGGUACCGCUAGAGGAA